GACAGAGGUCUCGAGCGUUAGGCGGAAUCACUGGGCUUAAAGCGUGUGUAGGCGGAGUUCUAAGUACCUUGUGAAAUCCCACGGCUUAACCGUGGAACUGCUUGGUAUACUGGUUCUCUUGGGCCACUUAGGGGCUACCGGAACAAACGGUGGAGCGGUGAAAUGCGUAGAUAUCGUUUGGAACGCCAAUGGUGAAAACAGGUAGCUGGGAGUGUGCCGACGCUGAGACACGAAAGCCAGGAAGCGAACGGG
rnacentral:rRNA from 1 species